GUUUUGUUACUUGAUCUACGGCUAUUUCAUCACCAAAGCUUCUGAUAACAGAUCAAAGUAGAUGGAUAGGGCAUACAGAGUCGCCGUUUAAUUUAAAAUAUCUUCGUGAUCGGCAAACGCAUCAAACAGCAAGUGUUUUUCCUUCCAACAGCACGCACCAUCGGUGGUGCAGUAGCUAACGUUUUGUUCGCCCAGCGCGCACCAUCAAGAAUUGAAAUAUUCCGAAUAGCUUUGUGAAUAAAAAAACUGCACACUUACUGUAGGAA